GUGUUUGCGUUUUUUUGCAGUUUUUUUCUUGUUGUUGAUUUCCAAUCAUAUCGCGUUGUGGCCGGAAAAGAUGUUUGGUAUGAUCUCAAUUUUCUGAAAGUUACCAAGGUUGGAUUUGUAGCGCAGGAUGUGCUCAAUCUUAGAGAAUGUUCCAUGUGCACUUGAGAAGAAUGUGUAUUCUGUUGCUUUUGGAUGGAAUGUCCUAUAAAUAUGUAUGAAGUCCAUCUGGUCUAAUGCUCCAUUCAGGGCCUGUGUUUCCUUAUUGAUUUUCUGUCUGGCUGAUCUGUCCAUUGCUGUAAGUGGGAUGUUAAAGUCCCCCACUAUAAUUGUGUUAUUGUUGAUUUGUCCUUUUAAGGUUGUUAGCAGUUGCCUUAUCUAUUGCAGUGAACCUAUGUUGGGUGCGUAGAUAUUUACAAUUGUUCUAGCUUCUUCUUGGAUUGAUCCUUUGGUCAUUAUGUAGUGACCUUCCUUGUCCCUUAAAAUAGUCUUCAUUUUAAAGUCUAUUUUGUCUGUUAUGAGUAUUGCUACUCUGUCUUUCUUUUGAUUCCCGUUGGCAUGGAAUAUUUUCUUCCAUCCUCUCACUUUGAAUUUGUGUGUGUCCAUAGAAGUGAAGUGGGUCUCUUGAAGAAAGCAUGUAUAUGGAUCUUGUUUUUGUAUCCAUUCAGCCAGUCUAUGUCUUUUGGCUGGGGUGUUUAGCCCAUUAACAUUUAAGGCAAUUAUUGAUAUGUAUGUUCUUAUUGCCAUUUUAUUAAUUGCUUUGGAUUUGUUUUUGUUGCUCUGUUUUCUUUCCUUCUUCUCUGUUCUCUCCUCUUCUGGAUUGAUGACUAUCUUUAGUGUUGUAUUUGAGUUGAUUUUUCUUUGUUUGUGUAUCAGUUGUAGAUUUUUGGUUUGCAGGUAUUCUGAAGUUUUGAUAUACGAUUCUAUAUGUAUAUGAGAUUGUUUUAAGUUGUUGUUCUCUUAAUUGCAAGUUCAUCUCCAGUUGUCCUCCAUUUGUACCCACCUCUUCUCAUGCUUUCUGAAUUUGGUAGUAUAAUUGUGCAUGGAUGAUUUUGUAUCUUUACUGUAUAUUUACCUUUACUGCUGAGCCUUGUCAUUUGUGGUAUUUUUGUUACCUGUUGCUGUCUUUUCUGCCUAGAGAAGUUCCUUUAGUAUUUGUUGUAAGGCUGGUUUACUGUUGCUGAAUUCUCUCAGCUUUUGCUUAUGUGUGAAGGUUUUGAUUUCUCCUUCAAAUGUGAAUGAGAGCCUUGCUGGGUAAAGUAAUCUUGAUUGGAGGUUUUUUCCUUUCAUCACAUUAAGUAUAUCAUACCACUUCCUUCUAGCCACAGAGUUUCUGCUGAAAAAUAUGCUAAUAACUUUAUUGGGGUUCCCUUGUGUGAUUUGUUUCUUUUCCCUAGCUGCUUUCAAGAUUUUCUCUUUGUCUAAUUUUGGUCAGUUUCACUUAAUUCCUUCUUGAGUGUUCUUCCUUAUAUAGAUAUGAGUUCUUUCUUAGGAUUUUUAUCGCUAAUCAAUACUGAAGCAAUGCUUACAUUGCUUGCCCAUCAGUUCUUGCAUUCUGCCAAAUUUAUCCUUUAUAGUCCUUAGCAUAUUAAUCAAAAUUAUUUUAAAUUCUCAUCCUAAAAAAUGCCAAUACCCCUUCCAUGUGUGGUUUUUAUGCUUGCUGUGUUUCUUCAAAAUAUGUUUUUCGACUUUUGGUAUGCCUUCUAAUUUUUUCUUAAUAGCCAGUCAUGAUGUGUGGAGUAAAGGGCACUGCUGCAGAGUGGCUUUCAGUAAUGUGGUGGUGAGGUGUGAGGGGGAAGGGAAGCUUUUUGUAGCUUUAUGACUAAGUCGCAGUCUUUUAGUGAGCCUGUGUCUCAGGACUGUGAACUUCACAAGUGUUUUAUUGGUUUGAUUGGAUAGCUAGAGAGGGCUGAAAAUGGGUAUUUCCCUUCCCCAGAUCACUUAGGUUCUAAUAAUACCCUAUAAAGUUAGACUCUGGUUAACUAGAUUUCCCCUUAGGGUGGACUUUAUUAAGGAAAGAGUGCUCUUAUUUCAAAAUGGUCCUUUUCCCCCACCUUCUGCUGGAAGUCGGAGAAUUUUUCUCCAGUAUUUACUAUGGGAAUCUGGUCGAGGUUCUGCAGGUAAAUCUCACAGUAUUGUGGGCAGCCCACUUAUGACUAGUCCUGCUGCUUUUUAACUCUCAGUGUUGUCUACACUCAGCCUUCAGCAAUUCAUCAAUUACAGUUCAGUAUUUCCUACCUGGCACUGGCUUAAUCAAUAUUUUCCACUUGUGAGUCUCUGCUCCUGUAUACUGCAUAUCCCUCUAUUUGCCUGUCUUUGCAGUCUUGGGAACAGCAGUUUACCCUAUGUCUUCUCUUCUCGUGGGUCCAAGAAGAGUUUUUGAUUUUUCAGUCUGUUCAGCUUUUUAUGUAUUGUUAGGACAGAAUGGUGACUUCAAAACUCAUUAUAUGUGGAAUCAGAAAUUGGAAUUCCCUCAUUUUUAAAAUUGUGGUAAAGUCACAAAAUAUAAUAUUUACCAUUUUAAGUCAUUUUUAAUUGUGCAGGUCAGCAGUAGUACAUACAUCACUAAUGUACAAUUAUCACCACCAUCUAUCUUCAUAACUUAUAAAACUUGUAAAAUGAAAACUAACUCCCUAUCCCUCUCUUUUCUAGCCCCUGGCAGCCAUCAUUCUACCUAUUUUCUGUCUCUGAUUUUGACUACUCUAAGUACAUUAUAUAAGUGGACCAUACACUAUUUGUUUUUUUUUUUUUUGGUGACUGGCCUAUUUUACUUAGCAUUAUGUCCUCAAGGUUCAUCUAUGUUGAAGCAUAGGUCAGAAUUUCCUGUCUUUCUAAGGCUGAGUAUAUUCCACUGUAUGUAUAUACCCCACAGUUGGCUUAUCUAUUCAUCUGUCAAUGCUUAUUUGGAUUUCUUCCAUAUUUUAGUUACUGUGAACAGUGCUGCCUAUGAACAUGGAAUUACAAAUAUAUCUUUCAGAUCCUGCUGUCAGUUCUUCUGGGUAUAUACCCAGAAGUGGAAUUUCUAGGUCAUGUGGUAAUUCUAUUCAAAGAUUUUUAAGGAUUUGCCAUGCCAUUUUACAUUCCCAACAAUGAUCCAUAAGGGUUCCAACAAUUGUGUUGUUUAAUUUCCACAAACUUGUGAAUUUUCCAAAUUAAUUCUGUUACUUAUUUUUAACUUCAUCCUAUUGUGAUUGGAGAAGAUACAUUGUAUAAUAUCUAUCUUUUUAACUACUGAGACGUUAUUUGUGAUUUAGGAUGUUGUCUAUCCUGGAAAGUGUGCCAUGUGCACUUAAGAAGAAUGUGUAUGUUGUUGUGUAGAGUAUUCUGUAUAUGUCUUUUAAACCUAGUUGGCUAUUGUGCUGUUUAAGUCUUUGAUUUCCUUAUUUUCUUUUGAAAUCUCCAACUAUUACUGUAGAACUGUCUAUUUAUCCCCUUAAUUUUGUCAGCUUUUCUUCUUAUAUUUUGAUGGCCUGUUAUUAGGUGUGCAGGUAUUCAUUAUUGUUGUAUCUUCAUGCUAUAUUGAACCUAGUAUUAAUGUAUACUUUGUCUCUUUGUCUCUUAUAAAUGUAAAGUUAUUUUGUUAUACUUUCUUUUGGUUAUUAUUUGCAUUAUGUAUCUUUUCCCAUCCUUUCACUUUCAGUCUGUUUGAACUUUUGGAUCUAAAAUGAGUCAAUUAUAGAUAACAUAUGGCUGGAUGAUUUCAUAAAUUCAUUCUACCAAUCUCUGUCUUUUGAUUGGAAAGUUUAAUACAUUUACAUUUAAAGUACAGGCAUACCUCAGAAAUAUUGUGGGUUCAAUUCUGGAGUGCUACAGUAAAGUGAAUAUCACAAAAAAAUGAGUCAUAUGAAAAGUCUUUCUAGGAGGUCUGCCUCCCAGGUCUUUUUCAGGGAUAGUUUCUGUUUGUUUGUUUCCUUUGAGCAGGUCAUAAUUUUCUAUUUCUUUUGUGUAUUUUGUUGACAGCUGGGCAUUUGAGUCUAAUGUAAACACAGACAUGGUUCUCCCCCUCCCCAGGGGUUUGCUAGUUUAUAAAAAAUUGUUUUUAUUUAUUAUUUUUCUUUGUCUUUAAUUUGUUGCAGGUUAUUUUUGUGUUAAGGAUUAGCCUGUGGUAUAAACAUAAGGUUUUCUCAUGUAUUCUCAUGUCUUUCCUGGGCGUGCACAGUUGCUUUCUCAUUUCCUCCAUAGGUGCACAGUUGCUUUCUCAUUUCCUCCAUAGGUACACAGUCACCUUCUCAUUUCCUCCAUAGUUGCAGUUACCUCUGUAGGAAAAUUGUAUUUAAUGUCUGGUUUGUAAAAGGGGAAAUAGAGAAAAAUGAAGAGGGAAAAAGGGGCACUGGCUCUUAAUAUCCACUAGAAGUCACUUUAGCCAGAGGGAGAGAGGCUUCUGACAAUGGGAGGUGGUAGAACAAAAAUGGUUCUACCCCUUUUCUACACCUCUGUGAUCAGUCAGUAGUCAAAGCAUGGAUCCCUGAUAAUCAGAGGGCAGGGGCUCCCCACCCCCCAUCCUGGCUCCUGCAAGUUUUGUACAGGUUGUUUCUAGAAGAUAUGCAUAGUUGCCUGCCAGAGGGCUGUGGAUGAGGGAAUGAAAAUGAGUAGCUGCUACUGUGCCAAGAGCUGAAAUUGGCCAAAAUUAAUCAUAAAAAGGACCAAUCUGUGAAUUAUUGAUUGGAGUCCCAGAAGGAGAAGAGAGGUGUAGAACAGGGAAGAAAGAAAUAAUGGUUGUGAAUGUCCUAAAUCUGGGUAGAGAUUUGAAGUUAUGAAUUUCUAUUUCAUGAAGCUCAUAGGUCAGCAAACAAUUUCAACUUAAAGUGAUAUUCUCCAAGACACUGUCAAAAAUAAAAGACAAAAAGAAUCUUAAAAGCAGCAGGAGAGGUUAUAACUUAGAAAAGAACUCCCAUAAGUCUAUCAGCAGAUUUUUCAGCAGAAACUUUAUAGGCCAGG
rnacentral:lncRNA from 1 species